rnacentral:rRNA from 1 species
GGUGAUGGCCAGCUUGCUGGUCUGAUCAGUGGCGAACGGGUGAGUAACACGUGAGCAACCUGCCCUUCACUCUGGGAUAAGCCCUGGAAACGGGGUCUAAUACCGGAUACGAGACGUACACGCAUGUGUAGCGUCUGGAAAGAUUUAUCGGUGGGGGAUGGGCUCGCGGCCUAUCAGCUUGUUGGUGGGGUAGUGGCCUACCAAGGCGACGACGGGUAGCCGGCCUGAGAGGGCGACCGGCCACACUGGGACUGAGACACGGCCCAGACUCCUACGGGAGGCAGCAGUGGGGAAUAUUGCACAAUGGGCGCAAGCCUGAUGCAGCGACGCCGCGUGAGGGAUGACGGCCUUCGGGUUGUAAACCUCUUUCAGCAGGGAAGAAGCGCAAGUGACGGUACCUGCAGAAGAAGCGCCGGCUAACUACGUGCCAGCAGCCGCGGUAAUACGUAGGGCGCAAGCGUUGUCCGGAAUUAUUGGGCGUAAAGAGCUCGUAGGCGGUUUGUCGCGUCUGCUGUGAAAACCUAAGGCUCAACCUUGGGCUUGCAGUGGGUACGGGCAGACUAGAGUGCGGUAGGGGUGACUGGAAUUCCUGGUGUAGCGGUGGAAUGCGCAGAUAUCAGGAGGAACACCGAUGGCGAAGGCAGGUCACUGGGCCGCAACUGACGCUGAGGAGCGAAAGCAUGGGGAGCGAACAGGAUUAGAUACCCUGGUAGUCCAUGCCGUAAACGUUGGGCACUAGGUGUGGGGCUCAUUCCACGAGUUCCGUGCCGCAGCAAACGCA